UCAAAUAAAAUAACUCCUGAUAAUGAGUCGCAUUUCCCUAAUUUCCUUUGAAUUAAUUUAAAACAGAAACAAUAUUAUUUUCGACUGACAUGCACGCACCAGAUUCUGUUAAACAGUAGAUCACAAUCUGACCACUGUGUUCUAAUUGUUGUUAGCAGUGACACUUAACAUCCACAUUGUUCCCCUCUCUUCGAUAUUUUAUAGCAAAAUGACAGGUAGAUCCAUCAAAAAACAAUAUUUCUGAAUCAUUAUUAAUCACAAUGUUUUCAACUCUUAGUUCCUGAUUUCUUUUUUAAAAUCAUUAGAUAAAGAGAAUUUUUUCAACUGAUGUCAGACUGUUUUCUUAAUUCAUCCAAUUAUGUUUCCAAAGAUGUUCAUUUCAUACAUUCAAAACAAGGUUAUCUAAUGAAAAAUAAGACUUAAGAAAUUUACUUCAAUUUUGAAAACAUUGUUUUGUCUUUGUUAAUUACUCAACAGACAAAAAACCUCAAUCGCUUCCUAUCUAAAAUAAAACAUGUCAUAAUUAAUUUAACCCAAGUGACAAAAAAUAUGGAAAACUCCAUAAUUUAUUCUUUAGAAUACUCCAAGUCCAUUAUUUCAAAGAAAACGAAUCAAAAAUGCAUUCAAUUUAUGUGGAACUUGACUGAAAAUAUGGACUUAUUAUCAUACAAGCCAGAUCAUGAAUUUCAGCUUAAGAUGUCUGCAAGAGAAAUUUAUAAAACAAUUAAGUACUCUUCAAAAUGAAGUUUGUGAGAACAGCACACAUUGGAACUCUUGGGAGUUCUUUAUAGCAGUACUGAGGGCGUAGUGGACCGUAUAUUUCUAAAUUAUCCUUAAAGUCAAAUGUUAAGACUUGGGAAUCAUAAAACAUCCUCAAGUAUCAUUCAGAAAAUUCAAAAUGUUCCAUUUUUACAGUUUGGUGCUAAGUUGGGAAGGUAUCCCCAGUAAUAAACUGGUCACAAAUAAAAUUUAGCAAAUUGUGCCACUGCUAGUCAGGAUCUUGAUAAGAAGAUGGCCAAGAGCACUUUGGUGGUAACUUUGGAUAGUAUGCAAUUUUAUAUCUAGAAACCAGGUAUAAAGCCCUGUGUGUGUGUGUAAUAAAUUCCUUGAUAUACCAGAAUUACUGCAGGACAGAGGGCAAUAAAGUAAAAAUGAAAAAUAAUACAAUAGCUUAGGCCCAGUAAGAACUGACAGAAAAUCUGAAUUAUUGUGCUACAAGAUUGGCAUCAAUUUCAGGGUCACAAUGACGGCAAGUUAAACCCAUGAUCCAACGCAUUCAAAAUUUAUCCAUCAUCAUGAUGACCUAUCAAUCAAGACCCUCAAAGACAAAGAAUAAGACAAAAUAGGUAACAAUCGAUGAAUUAUAUGUACUUCAUUCUUUUUCUGGGCUUUAUUGAUGCCACCAAAUUUGGAACGAAAAAAGGAAAAUACUUAAUGAUCCUAGAAUGAAAUUUCUUAAAAAACAGAGCACAAUAUGAUUCACUAUACAUAGAAUUUUUUCAAACAACUUUGUCUUUAAACCACAUAGGGGUUUCUCUUGUGUCUGACAAUUGUUCAAACGUCUAUAAAGGUAAUUAAUGCUCAGACAAAUAGGAUGUUAUUUACAUAAUCUUUUUUUUCUCUAACUCUCUGACUCUUUUUGUUUUUUUUACAGGAAAAAUUUCUUAAUAAAUGACAAUGAUAAUUUUAUUACUUUCAACUCAUAAAAACUGGAUACAUUAUAUGGAUCAGCACACAAUUUAGUUUCCAUUUCAAAUUUUUUGAAUAAUGCCAUAUAGUAUUUCAUUAAAUUUCUGAAAUUUCUUCCAAAUGCUGGUGGGUUUUUUUAUCUCUAAAACUUCCUACACUAGAUCCCUUAUGACUGUGCAGAUAUUGUCUCAUCCAAGAGAAGCACUUGAAAUUCAAGUUUCUUUCACCUCGAAAUCUGAUUACCAUAUACACGCAACCUGGCACCCACAGAACUUCUUUAUAGGUUACCAUUUGUAGCACAGAAUGUGAAGUCUCACCCCACUGCACAAAUUCUACCUCCAGCUUGUCAUAGUUGGAUCCAUUUCCAACUUUUUCAUACUUCUCUGAUGGCCCACAAAAAGGGUUCUGUUGAUUAUAGGAAUCUGGCAUGAAAUAGCACAUUCAAAAUGAUGCAUUAUUUUUUUUAUUAUUAUUUUUUUUUUGUUCUUUUCAGAUUGUACAAGUACCUAUACAUGCAUGGAAAGAAAGGGUAAAAUUUUGCUUCCAGGAAGACAAUUUCUCUCUCUGUUCCAUGUGUUAUUUUUUUUUUUUUUUACAUUUGACAAAUAUGCCUUAAAGGAGGGAAAAGAUUUAAGAACCGAACAAUGUCAACUGAUUUUUUUAGUGAUAACAUUCAUGGUGUAGUAGACAAAAAUAUUUUGGAGUACACAUAAAAGAUAAAACUUAACUUUAUGUUGGAUUUCCAACACAAAAAAUUACCUCAGUUAAGUAAAAUUCUGUUUCCUUAUUUUCAGAAAAAUUGUGCAUUACGAAAAUCUGUUUCAUCUUUUCAUUUUAUUUUAGCAACUGUAUGUACAUCCACCUAACAGAAAGUGCUCUGAUCCAAUUACAAACAUAAGUAUCGUCCCAUAAAUUUCCUUUCAAAAAAGAUAUCUUUACAAGGGGUUGGAGAACACUAAAUACACACUGUCCAGAGAAUAUUCAUUUGCAGAUUGCUCAUGUAAUAUACUAGAUUUCACUAAUACAUUUCCAAUAAAUUGUGUUAAUUUCAUUUAAAGCAGGCACAUUUUGUAAAACUGAAUUCAUAUUACAAAUUUUACAGAUUCAAAGAUGCUAUCAUUUUAACAUUUUCCAGACACAACGAAAACUCUGAUAUGGAGGAAAAGAAUUGGUGACAUGAUAAUUGCCCUGAUUAGGGACAUACAAGGAUGUAGCGUAAUGGCAGAUUUACUGAUUGAGUACUCAUCGUCAGGGAAUCAUUGUCACAAGGAAAUGAUUUCUCAAUGAGGAAAGUACAGUAUCAUAAGCAGAUAUAGGAGACAUUUUCUUCAUCACAAUAUCUAAAAUAGAUACGGCUUGCAAGAGAUUUUCCAUGACAAGCAUAGGAAAAGAAGAAAAUUGUUUCCCGAUCAAAUCUGUCACAAAUGCUGCAAAAUCAACAAAAAAAAAAAAAAAAAAAACAAGGAACAAUUAUCAAAAGAUAUUUUAUCAUAAUUUUACUUUGUCAAACACGGAAUGAAAUAACUGAAAUAAGAAGUUCAAUCAAGUUUACCCAGACAAAGUAAUCUGAUGGUCAAUAAUAGGGAGGUGGGUUCGGCAGUGAAUCUUCGGUCCCUAGCUACUGCAGUGAUUUCUGAUCAGAGUGGAUCUUCUCUUGUCUUUUGAGAAGCAAAGGAACCAAGAUAUGUCAUCGAUAAGAAUUCUCUAAAAAUAUUGCAAGAGCUUCCACCUUUCAUAAUCAAACAAUCACUACCAACAAUUUGUUGAAAAGGAAUUCCUAAGUGCUUUGUGUGUGCAAGAUACUUAUAAUGAAAGAGCUAAAACAUGAUAAAAUGUUACUGAAGAACUAAAAGGGGGUUAACUCUUAUAUUUCCCUCCAUCAACUCAUUUUUUUUUUUACAUGUGUUUGUGGAUUAAAUACUCAUUAAAGAAAACAAAAGAACCCAUAAUGUUCAAAUACAAGUUCUGAAAGAACAGAUUUUAGUGUAAUUAACAAGAAUUUUUUCUUUGCCAGAUUUCAAAGCUGUCCAAUAUCUAUUGCAGGAAAACACGGCAUCAUACUUCCUCUCCAUAGCAUCAGCAAAUCAGCAGAUUCAGUGACCGAAACUCAUACAAGCCCCAAACGAAUGGUUUUUAUUGACUUCAAGAAUGAAAUCUUUGAGAGCUCUUGCCAGAAUCAUAAUUCUUUAAUGGAACUCAUUUGCUUUUUUGAAAAGAAAGAGAUAUUGAUUCUGAUUCCAGUUUUUAAAAACCAAACAGACAGACACUUGCAUUAUUACAAAGAAAGUGCAGCAAGUUUGCUUUCCAUGCAAAAAUUUCAGUCAACUCUUUUUAAUGGAAAAACAUACAGUCAACCAAAGGAAUCAUGCCUCGGAAUACAGGACUAGUUCUGUAGAAAUGAUCUUCUUCCAAAAACUUAUUUUCAAAACAGAUUACAAAGACCUGGCAGGAUUUAAUCUGACAAUGUUAUCUAAAUUUUCAUGAAAUUGUUCCAAAAACACAAAAGUUCCUUAAGAUUACUACCAAGAGUAUUUUUAAGAUCAUGAGCCAAAGAUAUUUGGAACAAAGGGCACAAGAUAAACAAGAGAUGAGCUGCACCCAGAACAACGAGAGCAAGAAGAGAGAAGUCGACGGACUUGACAUCAGUGUUGUAGGUUUUCCUGUGUGUAAUGCACCCCUGAAUCACUUCGCACUGACGACAACAGACAGCCGCACGUCCAAACGCUUCCUUUACAAGAAGCAGGAUGCCGUUUGGCUUGGAGUUUCCUGUUUUUGUAAGGCACUUGAAAAUUUCCAAGUGUCACCGACAGCGAGAUUAUAAUAAUGCCUUGUAAACUGAUAAUCACGAGUCUGAGAUUUGUCAUCCUCGCAUCCUUGUACUAAUUCUCUGGACACACACGGCUUUAGUUCAAGAUUUCUAAGGCCUCCUUUGUCGAAGCAUGACCUUUAAGAGUUGGUCAAAAGGAAAAAAGAGACAAUUUUUAAGAUUCAUGGCAAAUGAAAGGAAAAAGCUUGUAAAUUUUUCUGCUUCGCUGAAUUUUACAUUUUGUUUGCAAAACUGCAAAACAAACUUAUCAAUUGCAUAUAUUCUGUUUGUUUUACAAAUGACUUAUGCAUACUUCCUGCCUCAUAGGAAAUACUUUUCCCUGAUUAAAAUACAAAUAAUGCCUUAUUAUCAUUUGAUCUGUACAAAGGGGCACAACUCUUCAGCUAAACAUUGAAAUUUGUGAUGAUGUUUAAUGCAUAGAUGUACUACACUGCACAUACACAGAAUCUGAAAUUAUCUUGAUAUUUCUCUACAUGACUUUGGAACAAUCUGGAAACAUAAUACAUUUUAUCAUCAUCCUUGACAUUUACCACAGGCACUAAGCUUCUACUGUGUGAAUUAAUGAGAGAUUUCAUAACUUUCUUACAAGUAACAUUAUUUGACACCGAAAGGAUGCUGAUGUCAGGAAAUAUACCACAGCUUAGUACAUGCACAUUGCACACAAACAUUUCCUUGGGCAUCCUUUUCAUUUGCAUUGUAAGAGCAAGUACCUCUUGAACAUUUACAUGAUGCUAAUUUUGAUCCCAAAUUUUAGCAAUGUAAAAAAAAUCAUCAUUGAUAUUACCUUUUCAAUAUAAUACCAUAUAUACAAUUUGUGUACUUACAAAUCAUUAAAACUGCCAGUGUAUCUGCAUAUGAUAUGCAUGCAUAUGGAAAAUCUGCUAAUCAGAACUUUAAAGUGGAGAAUAAAAGUUUUUCACAUGC